CCCUUAGAUGUUCUGGGCCGCACGCGCGCUACACUGACGAAGUCAGCGAGCAUGUCCUACGCCGACAGGUGCGGGGAAUCUUGUCAAACUUCGUCGUGAUGGGGAUUGAUUAUUGAAAUUCUUGAUCAUCAACGAGGAAUUCCUAGUAGGCGCAAGUCAGCAGCUUGCGUUGAUUACGUCCCUGCCCUUUGUACACACCGCCCGUCGCUACUACCGAUUGAAUGGUUUAGUGAGAUCUUCGGAUUGGCGCCACUGCGGCUCAGCAAUGGGCUCGGUGGAUGCCGAAAAGUUGAUCAAACUUGAUCAUUUAGAGGAAGUAAAAGUCGUAACA
rnacentral:rRNA from 1 species